rnacentral:lncRNA from 1 species
CAGCUGGACUCAGUUUAGAUUAUCCCAAUUUUGUUGGCAACAUCCAAAGCAUCAUAGUUGGGAGCCAGUUGAACGUAUGCUUUCUUUUCUCCAUUGGGCCUGAUGAGAGUGUUGACCUUGGCCAUGUCAAUAUCUUAGAGCUUCUUUACAGCCUGUUUGAUCUGGUGCUUGUUGGCUUUGACAUCCACAAUGAACACAAGUGUGUUGUUGUCUUGUAUUUUCUUCAUGGCUGACUUGGUAGUCAGGGGGAACUUGAUGAUGGCAUAUUGGUCAAGCUUGUUUCUCCUGGGGAUGCUCUUUUGAGGAUAUUUGGACUGCCUUCGGAGACACAGUGUUUGGGGCUGUCGGAAUGUGGGUGACGUGCAGAUCUUUUUUUUUUUUUUUGUUAUGAUUGUGGACGCCUUUCAGCACUGCUUUCUUGGCCUUCAAAGCCUUUGCUUUGGCUUCGGCUUUGGGAGGGGCAGGGGCUUCCUUCUUUGCCUUUGGUGCCAUCUUCGUGAAAGGGCU